UCAAAUUUUGGGUAGUUGGAGUUCGAAAGUAUUGGUUUUUCGACUAAAAGUAAACAGUUAGCAGUUUUAUAAUGUUCCAUUAUAAAAUAUUUACAUCACUUGUCUUAACACUAGUUAUGAUUGUAUAUUUACAAGAUAUAGCAGUAGCUGUUAAAAGAAAAACGCACGUUGAAUGUAUCAUUGAAGCUGCAAAUGCAUGCCAAAAAGUAGCAAAAGAUAAAAACAUUAAUUGUGUGAUGAAAUAUUACAGUACGAAAUGUUUUAAAUAAAAU